GCUGCAAAGGAACCUUCAGUGGAUCCAUCCACUUUAUCUGGCUUUGCCUGUGCUAAUCCUAUUAUCAUUGAUGAAUCCUUUGAUGCAAACUAUAAAUUGUUCAAAAAUCAGAAUGGUGAAGUGUUUGCCAGGUAUAUUGGUACUAACUGCAGAAAUGGACCACCUAUGAAGAAGAUCUGGGUUCCCAAAGGCUGUCUUGAGAAUCUUCCAGUGAAUGUCAUCAUGACACCACCAGUGAAGAAGACAAACCCAAGACCAAAGGCAUCAUAUGGUCCAACGGAUUCAUACGAAUACAGGACUCACUUGAGUCACCCUAACGCC
rnacentral:rRNA from 1 species